rfam:Erysipelotrichaceae bacterium NYT-BL-F16 NODE_180_length_3026_cov_1657.24_ID_359, whole genome shotgun sequence.
GAUCAAGCAAGAAAGGGCGUACGGAGAAUGCCUGGCCAGCUGCGAUUGAAGAAGGACGCGCCAAACUGCGAAAAGCGCCGGCAAGCUGUAAGGAAGCACAACCGGCGGUAUCCGAAUGGGGAAACCCGGCUGAAUAGAAAUCAGUCAUCCAGCAAUGGAGAAAAACCCGGCAAACCGAAACAUCCAAGUAGCCGGAGGAAAAGAAAACAAGAGUGAUUUCCCAAGUAGCGGCGAGCGAAAGGGAAGAAGCCCAAACCACGCAAGUGGGGUUGUAGGACCGCAAGAAAUGGAAGGGAACGUUAGCUGAACCUGCUGGAAAGCAGGCACAAAGAGGGUGAAAUGCCCGUAGGCAAAAGCGAACCUGGAGAUAGCGGAAUCCUGAGUACGACGGGACACGGGAAAUCCUGUCGGAAGCAGGCGGGACCAUCCGCCAAGGCUAAAUAGGAGCGGCUGAGCGAUAGUGAACCAGUACCGUGAGGGAAAGGUGAAAAGAACCGCGCAAGCGGAGUGAAAGAGAACCUGAAACCGUAUGCUUACAAGAAGUCAGAGUCCGUUAAGGGAUGAUGGCGUGCCUUUUGUAGAAUGAACCGGCGAGUUGUGAAUCUGUGCAAGGUUAAACCGAGAAGGUGAAGCCGAAGCGAAAGCGAGUCUGAAGAGGGCGACAAGUAGAGGUUUACAGACCCGAAACCGGGUGAUCUAGCCAUGGGCAGGUUGAAGUUGGGGUGAGACCCAAUGGAGGACCGAACCGACUGCCGUUGAAAAGUCAGCGGAUGACCUGUGGCUAGGGGAGAAAUUCCAAUCGAACCCGGAAAUAGCUGGUUCUCCCCGAAAUAGCUUUAGGGCUAGCGUCGCAAACAGCGAUGUGGAGGUAGAGCACUGAAUUCAUGAUGGCCCCAUCCCGGGGUACUGAAUGGAAUCAAACUGCGAAUGCCAUGUUGAAAUGAAAGCGGCAGUCAGAGUGUGGGUGAUAAGGUCCAUGCUCAAGAGGGAAACAGCCCAGACCGCCAGCUAAGGCCCCAAAAUGAUGACUGAGUGGAAAAGGAUGUGGGGACGCACGGACAGCUAGGAGGUUGGCUCAGAAGCAGCCAUCCUUGAAAGAGUGCGUAACAGCUCACUAGUCGAGUGGCCCUGCGCCGAAAAUGUACCGGGGCUAAGUCAUCUGCCGAAGCUGCGGAUAAGGACAGUAGAGAUAUUGAAAUUGUGGUAGGGGAGCGUUGCAUGAGCAUUGAAGCCAGAUCGAAAGAAAUGGUGGAGAUCAUGGAAGUGAGAAUGCCGGUGUGAGUAGCGAGAUGCAGGUGAGAAUCCUGCACACCGAAAGCCUAAGGAUUCCAGGGGAAGGUUCGUCCGCCCUGGGUCAGUCGGGACCUAACGCGAACCUGAAAGGGGAAGCGGAUGGAAAGCAGGCAGAGAAUCCUGCACCCGCGUAUGGAGUGAUGGAGUGACAAAGAAGGAUAGUGUGACCCGCUAAGUGGAUUGCGGGCCAAGCGAAAUAAGCGGCAUCCAGGCAAAUCCGGAUGCAAAAGCGAAAACGUGAAGGGGAAGACGUUAGUCGAAGCACAUGAAUCCAGCUUUCAGGAAAAGCUUCUAGCAUGAAUCCAUAAGCGGCCCGUACCAAAACCGACACAGGCAGGCGGCAAGAGAAUUGCAAGGUGAGCGAGAGAACUGUUGCCAAGGAACUCGGCAAAAUGGCCCCGUAACUUCGGGAGAAGGGGCGCUCGAAAGAGCCGCAGUGAAAAGGCCCAAGCGACUGUUUAACUAAAACACAGCUCUAUGCGAAGCCGCAAGGCGAAGUAUAUGGGGUGACACCUGCCCGGUGCUGGAAGGUUAAGGGGAAAUGUUAGUUUGCACGAAGCAUUGAACUGAAGCCCCAGUGAACGGCGGCCGUAACUAUAACGGUCCUAAGGUAGCGAAAUUCCUUGUCAGGUAAGUUCUGACCCGCACGAAAGGUGUAACGAUUUGGGCGCUGUCUCGGCAGCAGACUCGGUGAAAUCUUAGUACCUGUGAAAAUGCAGGUUACCCGCAACUAGACGGAAAGACCCCAUGGAGCUUUACUGCAGCCCGGCAUUGGGUUUGAUUGAUGCAUGUACAGAAUAGGUGGAAGGCGAAGAGACUUGAACGCCAGUUGAAGAGGAGCCGCAAGUGGGAUACCACCCCUGUAUUGGUGAAACCCUAAAGCAGACGAAAGUCGCCAAAAGUGCCGGGUGGGCAGUUUGACUGGGGCGGUCGCCUCCUAAAGAGUAACGGAGGCGCCCAAAGGUGCGUUCAGUCUGGAUGGAAACCAGAUGAAGAGUGUAAAUGCAAAAGCGCGCCUGACUGCGAUGCAAACAGGCAGAGCAGGGACGAAAGUCGGGAUUAGUGAUCCGGCGGAACCGCAUGGAAGGGCCGCCGCUCAACGGAUAAAAGCUACCCUGGGGAUAACAGGCUGAUCCCGCCCAAGAGUUCACAUCGACGGCGGGGUUUGGCACCUCGAUGUCGGCUCAUCGCAUCCUGGAGCUGGAUUCGGUUCCAAGGGUUGGGCUGUCCGCCCAUUAAAGCGGUACGCGAGCUGGGUUCAGAACGUCGUGAGACAGUUCGGUCCCUAUCUGUUGUGGGCGAAGGAGAUCUGAGGGGAGCUGUCCUCAGUACGAGAGGACCGGGAUGGACCUGCCGCUGGUGCACCAGUUAUCAUGCCAAUGGUACAGCUGGGCAGCUAAGCAGGGAAAGGAUAAGCGCUGAAAGCAUCUAAGCGCGAAGCCAGCCCCAAGAUAAGAUCUGCCAUUCGAAAGAAGUAAGACCCCUUGAAGACGACGAGGUAGAUAGGUCAGAGAUGGAAGUGCAGAGAUGCAUGAAGUUGGCUGAUACUAAUCGGUCGAGGGCUUGAUCGA